UACGGGGGGGGCAAGCGUUGUUCGGAAUUACUGGGCGUAAAGGGCUCGUAGGCGGCCAACUAAGUCGGACGUGAAAUCCCUCGGCUUAACCGGGGAACUGCGUCCGAUACUGGAUGGCUUGAGUUCGGGAGAGGGAUGCGGAAUUCCAGGUGUAGCGGUGAAAUGCGUAGAUAUCGGGAGGAACAUCAGUUGCGAAGGCGGCUCUCUGGACCAGCACUGACACUGAGGCACGAAAGCGUGGGGAGCAAACAGG
rnacentral:rRNA from 1 species